rnacentral:rRNA from 1 species
UACGAAGGAUGCGAGCGUUAUCCGGAUUUAUUGGGUUUAAAGGGUGCGUAGGCGGGAUGCCAAGUCAGCGGUAAAAAUGCGGUGCUCAACGCCGUCGAGCCGUUGAAACUGGCGUUCUUGAGUGGGCGAGAAGUAUGCGGAAUGCGUGGUGUAGCGGUGAAAUGCAUAGAUAUCACGCAGAACUCCGAUUGCGAAGGCAGCAUACCGGCGCCCUACUGACGCUGAGGCACGAAAGCGUGGGUAUCGAACAGG